CAUCCAUCUUCUCCCGCUUUUCCGUCAGGGUCGCGGAGGUAACAGCUCCAGCAGAGAGCCCCAAACUUUCCUUUCCCUGGCCACAUCAACCAGCUCUGACUGGGGGAUUCCAAGGCGCUCCCAGGCCAGUGAAGAGAUAUAAUCCCUCCACCUGGUCCUAGGUCUACCCCUCGGUCUCUUCCCAGCUGGACGUGCCUGGAACACCUCCCUAGGGAGGCGCCCAGGUGGCAUCCUCACUAGGUGCCCGAACCACCUCAACUGGCUCCUUUCAACGCGAAGGAGCAGCGGUUCUACUCCGAGUCCCUCCCGGAUGACUGAACUUCUCACCUUAUCCCUAAGGGAGAUGCCAGCCACCCUGCGGAGAAAUCCCAUUUCGGCCGCUUGUAUCCGCGAUCUCGUUCUUUCGGUCAUGACCCAUCCUUCAUGACCAUAGGUGAGGGUAGGAACGAAGAUGGCCCGGUAGACAGAGAGCUUUGCCUUCUGGCUCAGCUCUCUUUUCGUCACAACGGUGCGGUAAAGCGACUGCAGUACCGCUCCCGCUGCUCCGAUUCUCCGGCCCAUCUCACGCUCCAUUGUUCCCUCACUCGAGAACAAGACCCCGAGAUACUUGAACUCCUUCACUUGGGGUAAGGCUUCAUUCCCUACCUGGAGUGGACAAUCCAUCGGUUUCCUGCUGAGAACCAUGGCCUCAGAUUUGGAGGUGCUGAUCCUCAUCCCAGCCGCUUCACACUCGGCCGCGAUCCAGUGAGUGCUGCAGGUCACAGACCGAUGAAGCCAUUAGGACCACAUCAUCUGCAAAAAGCAGUGGUGCAAUCCUUAGCCCACCGAACUGCAAACCCCCUCCCCCACGACUACGCCUCGAAAUCCUGUCCAUGAAUAUCACAAACAAGAUUGGUGACAAAGCGCAGCCCUGGCGGAGGCCAACCCUCACCGGAAAACGGUCCGACGUGCUGCCGAGGACCCGGACACAGCUCUCGCUUUGGGAGUACAGAGAUUGGAUGGCCCUGAGCAAAGACCCCCUCACCCCAUACUCCCGCAGCACCUCCCACAGUAUCUCCCUGGGAACCCGGUCAUACGCCUUCUCCAAAUCUACAAAGCACAUGUAGACCGGAUGAGCGUACUCCCAAGCCCCCUCCAGGAUCCUUCCGAGAGUGAAAAGCUGGUCCGUCGUUCCACGACCAGGACGAAAACCGCAUUGUUCCUCUUCAAUCUGAGGUUCGACAAUCGGCCGGACCCUCCUUUCCAGCACCUUAGAGUAAACUUUCCCGGGGAGGCUGAGUAAUGUGAUGCCUCUGUAAUUGGCACACACCCUCUGAUCCCCCUUUUUAAAGAGAGGAACCACCACCCCGGUCUGCCACUCCUUCGGUACUGUUUCCGACUUCCACGCAAUGUUGACGAGACGUGUCAACCAUGACAGUCCCUCAACACCCAGAGCCUUCAGCAUUUCUGGGCGGAUCUCAUCCACCCCCGGGGCUUUGCCACUGUGGAGCUGUUUAACUACCUCAGUGACUUCCCCCCGUGAGAUUGGAAUUGAUCCCCCUUCAUACUCCAGCUCCGCCUCUAACAUAGAGUGCGGAGUUGUCGGAUUCAGGAGUUCCUCAAAGUGUUCCUUCCACCGCCCUAACACACUAUCAGUUGAGGUCAACAGCGCCCCAUCCUUACUGUACACAGCUUGGAUGGUACCCUGCUUCCCCCUCCUGAGGUGCCGGACGGUUUUCCAGAACAACUUUGGUGCCGACCGAAAGUCCUUCUCCAUGGCUUCUCCAAACUUCUCCCACACCCGCUGCUUUGCGUCGGCCACGGCUGAGGCUGCUGCCCUUCGGGCCUGUCGAUACCUUGCAACUGCGUCAGGAGUACCCAGGGAUAACAUAUGAGUAAUUCAACUAUCAAAAUAAAAUAAUCUUAAUAACCUUUUUACUGUUAUUAUUAACUACAAUGGAUAUAAAUGAAUUAUUACACAUUACAGAUAAAUGCUAUAAAUGCCUUAGAGGCAACACAUGCACUCUGCCAUUCCUGCCACAGUCACUAGUGCCCCAGAUAUCCUCCCAAACCCAGUGAUCUCACCUCCAUACACUCUGAUUAUCACAACCUCCAGGAGGUUUUUUAGCAAGAAUCUAUCUUUACAGUACUACCACACAGGCCCUGUGACUGUUCAAUAAUUUUUCUCCCUGGCAAUGCAAAGUUACAACUCUCUCAUUCUCAUUCGCCCUUCUUCAUCUCCGAUCCUUUUUUUUCGCGGACUUAAAAGAUAAAACUCUACGCCGCCUUGUAUUGAUUACAGAAGUCUUAAUGAAAUCAUGCUCAAGAACAAGUACCCCCUUCCACUCAUAUACUCUAGUUUGGCUCCCUCCACGAAGCCACCAUCUUUACAAAUUGGACCGUCGCAAUGCAUGCCACCUGGUGCAAAUAAAAUAAAGAGAUGAGUGGAAGACUGCUUUUAAUACUCCCCAUGGACAUUUUGAGUAUGUGGUAAAGUCUUUUGAGUUAACCAAAGCACCUGGAGUGCUCCAAGCUAUGAUUAAUGAUGUUUUGCGUGACAUGUUAAACAGGUUUGUUUGUUGUGUAGCCUACUUGGACGACAUCCUGAUCUUCUCUCGCAUUUCUCAAGAGCAUGUCCAGCAUGUAAGAUUAGUUCUACAGACACUUCUUGAGAACAGACUGUAUGUAAACACAGUUAUUAGGACACCUAAUGUCGACAUGUCAAUGGUAGAAUACAGACCCAAAAUUCCUCUGUAUGUAUAUCAGUGGAUCAUGCUUCAAUAUCAAAAUACAUGAUUAGAAGAGCUUAUGAAAUGGUAUCAAACUCUGCAGAUUGUAUGACUUUAGACUACUUACACUGUACGGCCUAUCUGUCACAAGACACAGACUUUGAAACAGGUUUCCUUCAUUACCUAAACAACUCUCUUAUGUGUUAUGCUCUGUUUGGUCCUAUGGCAGUUGUGCUAUUCCUGUGAAUCUGUGACACUGCAAUGUUUUUUAUGGUGAACAAUUCACACCCACAAAUCUCGGAGUCUCACAAUGACCAUUUGUGAGACGUGGGUGCGUUUGGAAGGAACUUCAAAUCCAUCUAUUAUUGGCAGCCCACCAACGACCCUCAGUUUAUGCAUUCUUCAAGAUGAGCCCUGAAGGAAGUCCCUAUUGUGGAAAUGUGUCAUACGUUUAAAUGAAUUAUGUGCCUUGGGCUAAUUUUCUCACAGUUUGAAUUGAAGUCUACUUGUAGCUUCUAAGUGUUCUCAAGCUUGCCAUUGUCAGAAAAUUGUCAUAUGGAUGUAAGGUAAUGUAAUCACCAUGUAUGCAUUGUUAUCUCCACCCAUUGUAGCCACCCAUCUUCAAUAACCUGUAAUGUAGGAUUUGAUUGGCUGAAAUCUUCCCUGUCCUGUUUUAUUCAUGUAUAAAAUAUAUGUCUGAUCUUGUACUACAUUGCUGGUGCAAAGACUCUGUCCUUCUGGCUGGAAAUAGAUUGAUUCUGUUAAAUGCUUUUACUCUUCAUUAAAUAACACAACUUUGGUUUUAA